AUGAUGAGAGCUGAUCAAGAAGUAAAAGCAAGGAGCUCUGAAGAAGCAAAGCAAGGGCCUGAUUAUGCAGAAACAACUAAUACAGAUGGCACUAGUGGCAGCGAUGAUUCAGAGUUUGAAGCAGAGCAGCUAAAAGAGGUGCAACAACAAACAGAAAACUAUGAAAUAGAUAACAGUGCUAGAUUUGCAGAAUCAAAUGAAGAGGAUCAGAAUGAAACUUUUAGCCCAUCAGGUAAGGAAAAAAAUGCACAAACUAGUAAGGAGCAGAUGAAAGAUGAAAACAAGUUAUCUCAAGAAGAUAUAGAAUUCUUCCUUGAGAAUGACAGUAUUAAAAAGGCAAUUAAAUUAAGCCAAGAAGAUGAGAAGAAACCCAUGCCAGCCCUUGGCAUGACAUUUGAAACUGAUGCUCAUGCACACAGAUUCUACAAUGAAUAUUCAGCUAUUGGUGGGUUCUCAAUUCAGAAAGCUGCAAACUAUCACUGCCAUAAGAAAGAUGCACACAACAACAAAAUGACGAGGUUCACUAUGAAGUGUAACAGAUCUGGUAAACCUAGGAUAAGGACAAAACCAACAGCUGCAGGAGCAAAAAGGAGAAAGUAUAAGAGUGAUAAAAAUGCACCAACUGAGCUAGAGAAUACGACAGACAGAAGAAGAAACUACACAAUUAAAACAGGUUGUCAAGCUCAGAUGGCUGUUACCUGGAAAUUCGAUACAGCACAGUGGGUGGUGACAAGGCUUAUCAUUGAGCACAAUCAUGACCUGCAUCCACCAGGGGAAGUCAGGUUCCUCAGGUCACACAAAUAUAUCACUGACCAAGAGAAGGACUUGAUUAGAACUUGCAAACGAGUGAACAUACCAACUAGAAAGAUUAUGGCAAUAAUGGCAUUCUUUCGAGGAAGAGGUCUUUCUUCGCUGCCAUAUACAGCAAAACAGGUUAGCAACAUGGGCAUGAAAAUGAGAAGAGAUAACGGAUUGAAUGACAUGAUGCAAGUGGUCUCAUUUUUUGAACAGAAAAAAUCAGAAGAUCCUUUGUUCUUCUACUCAUUCAAAACAGAUCCAGCUAAGAAUGUCAUGCAUAUAUUUUGGGCAGACGACACUGGUAUAAGGAACUAUCAACAAUAUGGUGAUCUCCUAAGUUUUGACACAACUUACAAAACAAACAAGUAUAACCUGAAGUUUGCUCCAUUUGUGGGUGUAAAUGGACACGGAGACAACUGCCUCUUUGCAUGUGGUUUCAUACAAGAUGAGAAGAAAGAAACUUUUGAGUGGUUGUACAAAACUUUUCUGAAGUGCAUGGGAGGAAAAGCUCCAAAAUCUGUGAUAACAGAUCAAGAUGCAGCUAUGAAAAAGGCAGUUCCUAAAUGUUUUCCUAGUUGCACGCACAGGAACUGUUUGUUUCACAUUCUAACAAAAGCGCAGAACAAAGCUAGGAGAACAUUUGCAAGGAACGAACAUUUGAAUGCUCAGUUUCAUGACAUAAUCCUAAACUAA
rnacentral:rRNA from 1 species